GGGAUGGAUUCUGGGAGUUGUAGCCUUUCAAACAGAGCUUUGUAUGUAUACACCUGUAUUGGAACACUACAGCUCCCCGAACUUCC
rfam:Sarcophilus harrisii ctg7180002298318, whole genome shotgun sequence.